UACGGGGGGGCAAGCGUUGUUCGGAAUUACUGGGCGUAAAGGGCUUGUAGGUGGCCAACUAAGUCAGACGUGAAAUCCCUCGGCUUAACCGGGGAACUGCGUCUGAUACUGGAUGGCUUGAGUGUGGGAGAGGGAUGCGGAAUUCCAGGUGUAGCGGUGAAAUGCGUAGAUAUCGAGAGGAACACCUGCGGCGAAGGCGGGUUGCUGGGCUGACACUGACGCUGAUGCGCGAAAGCCAGGGGAGCGAACGGG
rnacentral:rRNA from 1 species